rnacentral:tRNA from 1 species
GGGCGCGUAGCUCAGUGGGAGAGCACCGCCUUCACACGGCGGGGGUCGCUGGUUCAAUCCCAGCCGCGCCCACCA